UGAUAAAGCUCGGCGUAAAGGGUGGUUAGUAGAUACCUUACUAAAGUCGAACAUCUUCAAGGCUGUUAUACGCCCCCGAAAACAGGAAGCCCAACUACGAAAGUGACUUUAAUAUUUAUGAACCCACAAAAGCUAGGGAA
rnacentral:rRNA from 1 species